AAGGAUCAUUAUUAUUUGGGUCGGGUUUACUUCUUUAAUUAACUUUUCAGUCGCUGUCCUAGUAACUAUAUUUUAAGAAAUUAAGAAGUAAACUUUUACCAAAUAAUCCUAUAUUUUAUAGGAGCAAGAUGGACAUUAUAUUUAAAACCUACACUUUUGAAUGUAUUUUUGUAUAUUUUUUGAAUGAAAUUUAAAAGAUCACUUUCAACAACGGAUCUCUUGGCUCUC
rnacentral:misc_RNA from 1 species